GACGAACGCUGGCGGCGUGCUUAACACAUGCAAGUCGAACGGCGACGCGCCUUCCUUUUUGGCGGGUGUGGAUGAGUGGCGAACGGGUGAGUAACACGUGAGUAACCUGCCCCCUUCUUCUGGAUAACCGCAUGAAAGUGUGGCUAAUACGGGAUAUUCUGGGUCUGUCGCAUGAUGGGUCUGGGAAAGAUAUUGUUUCGGUGGGGGAUGGUCUCGCGGCCUAUCAGCUUGUUGGUGGGUGCUGGCCUACCAAGGCGGUGACGGGUAGCCGGCCUGAGAGGGUGGACGGUCACACUAGGGCUGAGACACGGCGCAUACUCCGACGGGAAGCAGCGGUGGAUAAUAUUGCACAAUGGGCACAAGCAUGAUGCAGCGACGCCGCGUGAGGGAUGGAGGCCUGCGGGUUGUGAACCUCUUUCGCGAGUGAAGCAGGCCUGCCUCGUUUGUGGGUGGGUUGACGGUAGCUGGAUAAUAAGCACCGGCUAACUACGUG
rnacentral:rRNA from 1 species